rnacentral:tRNA from 1 species
UCCGUUGUAGUCUAGUUGGUUAGGAUACUCGGCUCUCACCGAGAGACCCGGGUUCAAUUCCGGCAACGAAA